rnacentral:rRNA from 1 species
UACGUAGGGCGCGAGCGUUGUUCGGAAUUACUGGGCGUAAAGCGCACGUAGGCGGGUAUUUAAGUCAGGGGUGAAAUCCCAGAGCUCAACUCUGGAACUGCCUUUGGUACUGGGUACCUAGAGUAUGGAAGAGGUGAGUGGAAUUCCGAGUGUAGAGGUGAAAUUCGUAGAUAUUCGGAGGAACACCAGUGGCGAAGGCGGCUCACUGGUCCAUUACUGACGCUGAGGUGCGAAAGCGUGGGGAGCAAACGGG